rnacentral:rRNA from 1 species
GAUGAACGCUGGCGGCGUGCCUAAUACAUGCAAGUCGAGCGAACGGACGAGAAGCUUGCUUCUCUGAUGUUAGCGGCGGACGGGUGAGUAACACGUGGAUAACCUACCUAUAAGACUGGGAUAACUUCGGGAAACCGGAGCUAAUACCGGAUAAUAUUUUGAACCGCAUGGUUCAAAAGUGAAAGACGGUCUUGCUGUCACUUAUAGAUGGAUCCGCGCUGCAUUAGCUAGUUGGUAAGGUAACGGCUUACCAAGGCAACGAUGCAUAGCCGACCUGAGAGGGUGAUCGGCCACACUGGAACUGAGACACGGUCCAGACUCCUACGGGAGGCAGCAGUAGGGAAUCUUCCGCAAUGGGCGAAAGCCUGACGGAGCAACGCCGCGUGAGUGAUGAAGGUCUUCGGAUCGUAAAACUCUGUUAUUAGGGAAGAACAUAUGUGUAAGUAACUGUGCACAUCUUGACGGUACCUAAUCAGAAAGCCACGGCUAACUACGUGCCAGCAGCCGCGGUAAUACGUAGGUGGCAAGCGUUAUCCGGAAUUAUUGGGCGUAAAGCGCGCGUAGCGGUUUUUUAGUCUGAUGUGAAAGCCCACGGCUCAACCGUGGAGGGUCAUUGGAAACUGGAAAACUUGAGUGCAGAAGAGGAAAGUGGAAUUCCAUGUGUAGCGAUGAAAUGCGCAGAGAUAUGGAGGAACACCAGUGGCGAAGGCGACUUUCUGGUCUGUAACUGACGCUGAUGUGCGAAAGCGUGGGGAUCAAACAGGAUUAGAUACCCUGGUAGUCCACGCCGUAAACGAUGAGUGCUAAGUGUUAGGGGGUUUCCGCCCCUUAGUGCUGCAGCUAACGCAUUAAGCACUCCGCCUGGGGAGUACGACCGCAAGGUUGAAACUCAAAGGAAUUGACGGGGACCCGCACAAGCGGUGGAGCAUGUGGUUUAAUUCGAAGCAACGCGAAGAACCUUACCAAAUCUUGACAUCCUUUGACAACUCUAGAGAUAGAGCCUUCCCCUUCGGGGGACAAAGUGACAGGUGGUGCAUGGUUGUCGUCAGCUCGUGUCGUGAGAUGUUGGGUUAAGUCCCGCAACGAGCGCAACCCUUAAGCUUAGUUGCCAUCAUUAAGUUGGGCACUCUAAGUUGACUGCCGGUGACAAACCGGAGGAAGGUGGGGAUGACGUCAAAUCAUCAUGCCCCUUAUGAUUUGGGCUACACACGUGCUACAAUGGACAAUACAAAGGGCAGCGAAACCGCGAGGUCAAGCAAAUCCCAUAAAGUUGUUCUCAGUUCGGAUUGUAGUCUGCAACUCGACUACAUGAAGCUGGAAUCGCUAGUAAUCGUAGAUCAGCAUGCUACGGUGAAUACGUUCCCGGGUCU